GAUGAACGCUGACAGAAUGCUUAACACAUGCAAGUCGAUGGGGAAGUGGUGCUUGCACCCUGGUAACCAUGGCGGACGGGUGAGUAACACGUAAGGAACUUACCUGCGGGACCGGGAUAACAGCAGGAAACUGCUGACAAGACCGGAUAAGGUCAUUAAGCUGCAUAGCUUAGUGAUGAAAGGAGACGCCUGCGGAGAGCCUUGCGUCCUAUUAGCUAGUUGGAGGGGUAACGGCCCACCAAGGCGAAGAUAGGUAGCCGGCCUGAGAGGGUGGACGGCCACAAGGGGACUGAGAUACGGCCCUUACUCCUACGGGAGGCAGCAGUGGGGAAUAUUGGACAAGGGGGGCAACCCUGAUCCAGCAAUUCUGUGUGCACGAAGACGGUUUUCGGAUUGUAAAGUGCUUUCAGCAGGGAAGAAGGAAGUGACGGUACCUGCAGAAGAAGCGACGGCUAAAUACGUG
rnacentral:rRNA from 1 species